UAAGAGGAGUCUUUCUUCAUUCUAUCCAUUCAAAAUGCAUGCACGCUCCUGAGAUCUGAGCAUGCAUGUAUAUGAGGGAUCGAUAUCUAGAAAGAUAGCUGCCGUAUAACGAAGUAUUGGUGAAGGCGGAUGCGUGGCUGCGAAGCGAGACGGGUAAGCAGGAAGGUGGUGUUUCCUCGGUGAAGGUCCCGGGGACUGCGUGAAGCUCACGCCGCCGAAGCAGGGUGUGGUGGAAGUAAUGCAAGGCCUGAGUACAAGAGUUUGAAGAAACGGGGUGCUGUGUUCUGCGGAUUUCUCAGGAUCGCUGGAUACGUCAUCCUCGGAUUCAUCAAAUGAAGAAGAGAAACCCGUAGAUGACGCUGAAGACGAAGAUAAUUUCCUAGAAAGAGGUGAUGGGGACCUGCUACCCAGACGAGGACUUCUAAGCAGUGGAGAAACUGGGCAGUUUUGGGCUUGAAUAUGGGCUUCGAAGAGUCCCACAACUUGAUUGACCUGGACAUUUUGGAGUUCCCGUUGUAUCUGAG